CAGUCGCCACGGUAAUACGUAGGGUGCAAGCGUUAAUCGGGAUUACUGGGCGUAAAGCGUGCGCAGGCGGUUAUAUAAGUCAGAUGUGAAAUCCCCGGGCUCAACCUGGGAACUGCAUUUGAGACUGUAUGGCUAGAGUGUGUCAGAGGGGGGUAGAAUUCCACGUGUAGCAGUGAAAUGCGUAGGGAUGUGGAGGAACACCGAUGGCGAAGGCAGCCCCCUGGGCCAAUACUGACGCUCAUGCACGAAAGCGUGGGGAGCAAACAGGAUUAGAGACCCCCGUAGUCCCUGUCUCUUAUAC
rnacentral:rRNA from 1 species